AAGAAAAUAAAAUGUCUAGGUGCCUUUUAAAAAGAAGGUGAAAAGGGAAUGCGGUUAAAUUCCGCAGCAGCCCCCGCUACUGUAUUUGAUGACAAACCUUUGUUAAACCACUCUAAUCAAGGGGAAGGUAAAGGUGAGGAUGAUUCAUAAGCCAGGAGACCUGCCUAGUGAGUGUUAUGAAG
rnacentral:ncRNA from 2 species